rnacentral:rRNA from 1 species
UACGUAGGGUGCAAGCGUUGUCCGGAAUUAUUGGGCGUAAAGGGCUCGUAGGCGGUCCAUCGCGUCGGGAGUGAAAAGCUGGGGCUUAACCCCAGUCCUGCUUCCGAUACGGGUGGACUAGAGGUAGGUAGGGGAGAUCGGAAUCCCUGGUGUAGCGGUGAAAUGCGCAGAUAUCAGGAGGAACACCGGUGGCGAAGGCGGAUCUCUGGGCCUUACCUGACGCUGAGGAGCGAAAGCAUGGGGAGCAAACGGG